GGCGCUAUAGCCAAGUGGUUACGGCGAGAGAUUAGAAAUCUCUUCCUCUUUGAGGGCGCAGGUUCAAAUCCUGCUGGCGUCG
rnacentral:tRNA from 1 species